rnacentral:rRNA from 1 species
CACACCCUAUUUUGGCGCAAAAAACUUAUUAAUUUUUGACCUAUGAACGAUUUAAUAAUACCAAUUAAAUAAAAGGAAUUCGGCAAAUUUUUGCUUCGCCUGUUUAUCAAAAACAUGGCUCCCCGCUCAAA